AUCAUUACCGAGCUUUACAACUCCCAAACCCAAUGUGAACGUUACCAAACUGUUGCCUCGGCGGGAUCUCUGCCCCGGGUGCGUCGCAGCCCCGGACCAAGGCGCCCGCCGGAGGACCAACCAAAACUCUUAUUGUAUACCCCCUCGCGGGUUUUUUUAUAAUCUGAGCCUUCUCGGCGCCUCUCGUAGGCGUUUCGAAAAUGAAUCAAAACUUUCAACAACGGAUCUCUUGGUUCUGGCAUCGAUGAAGAACGCAGCGAAAUGCGAUAAGUAAUGUGAAUUGCAGAAUUCAGUGAAUCAUCGAAUCUUUGAACGCACAUUGCGCCCGCCAGUAUUCUGGCGGGCAUGCCUGUCCGAGCGUCAUUUCAACCCUCGAACCCCUCCGGGGGGUCGGCGUUGGGGAUCGGCCCUCCCUUAGCGGGUGGCCGUCUCCGAAAUACAGUGGCGGUCUCGCCGCAGCCUCUCCUGCGCAGUAGUUUGCACACUCGCAUCGGGAGCGCGGCGCGUCCACAGCCGUUAAACACCCAACUUCUGAAAUGUUGACCUCGGAUCAGGUAGGAAUACCCGCUGAACUUAAGCAUAUCAUUAAGCGGGAGGAA
rnacentral:rRNA from 1 species